GGUGGGCGACUCUGUGGAGGACUGCCCGGGUUAACCGGGUACGGGAGGGUGGGGGAGUGACGUCAAGUCAUCAUGGCCCUUACGCCUAGGGCUACACACGUACUACAAUGGUGGGUACAAAGGGCAGCGAAACCGCGAGGUCGAGCGAAUCUCAAAAAACCCAUCAUAGUCCGGAUUGCAGUCUGCAACUCGACUGCAUGAAGUUGGAAUCGCUAGUAAUCCCGGAUCAGCAUGCCGGGGUGAAUACGUUCCCGGGCCUU
rnacentral:rRNA from 1 species